rnacentral:rRNA from 1 species
UACGAAGGGGGCUAGCGUUGCUCGGAAUUACUGGGCGUAAAGCGCACGUAGGCGGCUUUCUAAGUCGGGGGUGAAAUCCUGGAGCUCAACUCCAGAACUGCCUUCGAUACUGGAGAGCUUGAGUCCGGGAGAGGUGAGUGGAACUGCGAGUGUAGAGGUGAAAUUCGUAGAUAUUCGCAAGAACACCAGUGGCGAAGGCGGCUCACUGGCCCGGUACUGACGCUGAGGCACGAAAGCGUGGGGAGCAAACAGGG